UAGAAUAAAGCUCGCUGGAUUGAGUGUUUAGCUGUUAAUUAAAAUUUUACGGGAUCGAGGCCCGUUAUUCUAG
rnacentral:tRNA from 1 species